AAGUUCCUCCAGGGCUUAUGGUGUGUGCUUCUCUCCACAGCUGGGCCCCAACGUCUCCAUCGGGAAGGGGGUGACCGUGGGUGAGGGUGUGCGGCUCCGGGAGAGCAUUGUCCUCCAUGGAGCCACUUUGCAGGAGCACACGUGUGUUCUGCAUAGCAUCGUGGGCUGGGGGAGCACCGUGGGACGCUGGGCCCGCGUGGAGGGUACCCCCAAUGACCCCAACCCCAACGAUCCCCGAGCCCGCAUGGACAGUGAGAGCCUCUUCAAAGACGGGAAGCUGCUGCCUGCCAUCACCAUCCUGG
rnacentral:sRNA from 1 species